rnacentral:rRNA from 1 species
UUGCAGAAUUCAGUGAACCAUCGAAUCUUUGAACGCACAUUGCGCCCGCCAGCAUUCUGGCGGGCAUGCCUGUCCGAGCGUCAUU